rnacentral:lncRNA from 1 species
AUGAGGAAAAAUUGGGAUUUUUUAUCAGUGGAAAAUGAGGAAAAAUCUGGUUUUUUAUCCAUGGAAAAACGGGGAAAAUUCCGUCCAAAAAAAUUCCCGGAGCGCGGAUCCCGCUCAUCCCAAAUUUCCCUCCCUCGAUCCCAAAUUUCCCUCCCUCAUCCCAAAUUUCCCUCCCAAAAUUCCCAUUUUUUUAUUCCACACGGAUCAAGUGCAAAAUUUCCCUCCCAAAAUUCCCAUUUUUUUAUUCCACACGGAUCAAGUGCAAAAAUUCCCGUUUUAUUCAGCCGAGCCACAAAAAUAAACCAAAAAAUUGGGAAUUUUUUUUUUGGGGGAGGGAAUUCCCAAAUUUUGGGGAAGAUCUCUCGAAUAAUUGAUCCAAAUUUGGGGGGUCCUGGGGGGAUUUUGGGGAAAUUUUUUUGGGAGUUUUUGGUUUUUUUUUUUAAUUUUUUUUUAAUUUUCUGGAUUUUUUGGGGGUUUUUUUGGGAGUUUUUGGGGUGUUUUUGGGGUUGUUUUUGGGGUUCCUGGGGUUGUUUUUGGGGUUCCCCCCUAGAUGAGGUCCAUCAGGAUGUCCUCCUCCACCAUCCCAAGGGGUCUGGAGACCCCAAAUUUGGGGGUUCCUGGGAGAUUUUUGGGGUAACUUUGGGGUGUUUUGCGGAUUUUUCUGGGUAUUUUUGGGGUUUCUGGGGGUAUUUUGGGGUUGUUUUUGGGGUUUUUGGGGUUCCCAGACCCCAUUUUUGGGGUCCCCCCUAGAUGAGGUCCAUCAGGAUGUCCUCCUCCAUCACCCCAGGGGUCUGGAGACCCCAAAUUUGGGGGUUCCUGGGGGAUUUUUGGGGUAAUUUUGGGGUUCCUGGAGGAUUUUUGGGGUAAUUUUGGGUUGUUUUGGGGUAUUUUGGGGUGUUUUUGGAGUUGUUUUUGGGGUUUUUGGGGUUCCCAGACCCCAUUUUUGGG